rnacentral:rRNA from 1 species
GACGAACCGUGCGAACGUUGUUCGGAAUCACUGGGCUUAAAGGGCGCGUAGGCGGUUGACCAAGUCCGGGGUGAAAUCUUUCGGCUUAACCGGAAAAGUGCCUUGGAUACUGGUCAGCUAGAGGGAUGUAGGGGCAGCUGGAACUUCCAGUGGAGCGGUGAAAUGCGUUGAUAUUGGAAGGAACGCCGGUGGCGAAAGCGAGCUGCUGGACAUCUUCUGACGCUGAGGCGCGAAAGCUAGGGGAGCAAACGGG